rnacentral:rRNA from 3 species
UACGUAGGGUGCAAGCGUUAAUCGGAAUUACUGGGCGUAAAGCGUGCGCAGGCGGUUAUGCAAGACAGAGGUGAAAUCCCCGGGCUCAACCUGGGAACUGCCUUUGUGACUGCAUAGCUAGAGUACGGUAGAGGGGGAUGGAAUUCCGCGUGUAGCAGUGAAAUGCGUAGAUAUGCGGAGGAACACCGAUGGCGAAGGCAAUCCCCUGGACCUGUACUGACGCUCAUGCACGAAAGCGUGGGGAGCAAACAGG